CGUGUAGGUGGUCAGAUAAGUCAGAUGUGAAAGCUCUGGGCUUAACCCGGGAAUUGCAUUUGAUACUGUUUGGCUUGAGUACGGUAGAGGAGGGUGGAAUUCCCAGUGUAGCGGUGAAAUGCGUAGAUAUUGGGAGGAACACCGGUGGCGAAGGCGGCCCUCUGGACCGAGACUGACGCUGAAACGCGAAAGCUAGGGGAGCAAACGGGAUUAGAUACCCCGGUAGUCCUAGCCGUAAACGGUGAGUACUAGGUGUAGGAGGUAUUGACCCCUUCUGUGCCGCAGCUAACGCAUUAAGUACUCCGCCUGGGGACUACGGCCGCAAGGUUGAA
rnacentral:rRNA from 1 species